GGAGCGUCAUGUCAGCACAAAAGGACGAGUUUGAUAAUAAAAAGAAAGUUGAGAGACUAGUUUGAUCCAUUUGAAAGUUAACGAACGAACUUGACCCUUAAACUAAAAUUGAGGGACUAAAAUUGCUAUUUUGCCUAAUCCAAAGAUACCUAACUAUCGGACUACAGAACAUCCACAUCUCUAUUCAUUGCACUGACUGAUGUGGUCGCCGUCCUCUCUCCCUGCAACAUGCCAG
rnacentral:lncRNA from 1 species